CCCUUAGAUGUUCUGGGCCGCACGCGCGCUACACUGGUCGAUGCAACGAGUUUCUUUCCUUGGCCGACAGGCCUGGGCAAUCUUUGAACAUCGAUCGUGAUCGGGAUAGAUUCUUGUAAUUUUUGAUCUUAAACGAGGAAUUCCUAGUAAACGCAAGUCAUCAGCUUGCAUUGAUUACGUCCCUGCCCUUUGUACACACCGCCCGUCGCACCUACCGAUUGAAUGGUCCGGUGAAAUCUCGGGACGGCGGCUUGGUCGCUUGCGUCCGACUGCUGAAACUUGAUUAAACCAUAUCAUUUAGAGGAAGGUGAAGUCGUAACA
rnacentral:rRNA from 1 species